rnacentral:tRNA from 1 species
GGAGUUGUGGCUCAGAGGUAGAGUGUGUGCCUACCAUGCAUGAGACACUGAGUUCAAUCCUCAGCACCA